GUGCAGAGGCCGGGUGACUCGUGUUGAAGGAGAAGGCAACAAAAAAAUUUUUUAAAAAGGAACAGAUGACUUCAUUCUCCUCGGGAAGGCUCUGUCCUACGUGGACAAUUUCCUGGGGACUGUGGUGGAACAGCCCCGUUGCCGCUGGAAGCACACGAAACUAAACCAGAAAAAAACCAAAAAAUUCUCGGUCUUGCCUGAAACCCAGCCAGGGGAGGCUGGUGGCGCGUGAACCGCGAGGAGGGUCGAAUUCUUCCGCUUGCGCUUGGGGCUUGGCUUCCAACAAACCUCCCCACUUAAAACUCCUGUACCCUGAGAGAGUGAGCAAGUGGCCCAACGUCACACAGCCAGGUUUCAUUCUGCCCAGACACCUGCAGGGACAAACCCAGCAGAGACCGGGGAGCAGAGCCAGUGUUUGGACCCGGGGCCUCGGAAGAGGGGUGAGGCUCAGCUCGAGGCCAGGCGAGGGGAGAUGAACUCGGCAGCCUUCCAAGCAAACCCAUCUCUGGCAGUAGGUAGCAGAUUUAGAGAGUUGAGCUGUGGGCAGCGUUUGAAUAGAAGCAAGUUGACAGAUGACACCCAGCAUCACAGAACUUCAGAGCUGGGAGGAUCUUGGAGAUUAUCCAAACCAACCACUUUCCGAUUUUACCAAUGGGCACACUGAGGCCCAGAGUGGGGAAGAGACCCAGCUGGCAUCUGCUGCUGUCUAGUGGCAGAACCUAGAUCAGAACCCAGGCACCUUGCCGCCCAUUUGGGUGCUCAUUGCCCCACACUGAUUCUUCCAUGGAAUUAUCUGUAUGAUCGGAAACAGAAUGGGGGUGGAGCAAGAUAACUACGGCAAGGCAGGAGACACUGAAAUCAAACUGCCUGGGUUUCAAGGGAGACCCUGGACAAGCGCUGACUUCUCCCUGAGCCUCAAUGUCCUUAUUAAAUAGGAUAAUAACAGUACCUGCCCUAAGUUUGUCUUAAGGACUAAAGGAGAUGGUAUAGGAAAAGUACCUGGACUAAGCCUGGUACAUAUUAGUACUUAACUGAUGUUGGUAAGGAUGCUGAUAGCAGUGAUAAUGCUGGAGGUCGCAUUGGGUUGAACGGUGGCCCCCAAAAGAUAAGUCCACAUCCUCAUCCCUGGAACCUGUGGAUGUGACCUUAUCUGGAGAAAGGGUCCUUUGAGAUGUCAAGAAUACUGAAAUCCGAUCAUCCCAGAUUACCCAGGUGGGGUCUCCAUGUCAUCAAAAGUGUCCUUAGAGGAG
ensembl:lncRNA